AGGAUAAACGCUGGCGGCGUGCCUAACACAUGCAAGUCGAACGUCUCUUUCUUCGGGAAGAGGAGUGGCGGACGGGUGAGGAACACGUGGGAACCUGCCCUUCAGUGAGGAAUACCGGCGAGAAAUCGCCGACAAGACCGCAUAGCCCUCUCUGGUGAGAGCCAGAGAAGGAAAGCCUCGCAAGAGGCGCUGGAGGAGGGGCCUGCGUCCGAUUAGCUAGUUGGUGGGGUAAGAGCCUACCAAGGCGUCGAUCGGUAGCUGGUCUGAGAGGACGAUCAGCCACACUGGGAUUGAGAACGGCCCAGACUCCUACGGGGGGCAGCAGUGAGGAAUUUUCGGCAAUGGGGGAAACCCUGACCGAGCAACGCCGCGUGCAGGAAGACGGCCUUCGGGUUGUAAACUGCUUUUCUCGGGACGAGCAAGGACGGUACCCGAGGAAGAAGCCCGGCUAACUACGUGCCAGCAGCCGC
rnacentral:rRNA from 1 species